GAUGAAGAACGUAGUGAAAUGCGAAAAGUAAUGUGAAUUGCAGAAUUCAGUGAAUCAUCGAAUCUUUGAACGCACAUUGCGCCCGCCAGUAUUCUGGCGGGCAUGCCUGUCUGAGCGUCAUUUCAACCCUCAAGCAACUUCUGCUUGGUGUUGGGGAUCGGCCGUCAAACGCCGCCCCCGAAAUCUAUUGGCGAUCUCGCUGUAGCUUCCUAUGCGUAGUAGUAACAUCUCGCAUCUGGAGAGCGGCGCGGUCAUGCCGUAAAACACCCAACUUCUCAGGUUGACCUCAGAUCAGGUAGGAAUACCCGCUGAACUUAAGCAUAUCAAUAAGCGGAGGA
rnacentral:misc_RNA from 1 species